rnacentral:lncRNA from 1 species
AGGAGUAGGGGCGUGCCCAGCCGGCAGCCCUGUCCUGCUCGUGGGGGAGGGGCAGGAGGGGUCUGCUCCUCUACUUCCAUUGCGACCACGGCAGGUAGCUCCUCCAUCUCCCUCCCCCUCUUCCUGUGCUCACUACUUCUGCUGCUAAGUUGACGAAUAUGUGAUGCACUUGUCCCAAGGAAUUUUAGAGGGAUCUGUAUGAACAAGUCAUGUUUUUAUUUUAUUUUAUUUAGGUUGUUAGUUACCAAACAGAGAGGGAAGAUGAGCUCCUGCUUGGAUUUUUUCUGCCUGCACAUCAUUUGUAUGUAUGCAAUCAUCAUCUGAUUUGAUGCUACCUUGUCGUUCAUGCUGUGUGCAUUGAUUCCCACAAACUAUAACCUGAUUUGAUGUACCUUGUGUUUUUUUCAAUUGAUAUUUGUCUCAUCCAACACUCUGACUAUAAAUGUGUUGUUUUAAUCCUGAUGAUGAUGUAGUAGUAUAAGGUGGACACCAUAUUCCUCUUUUAACCCAAAUGAAUAACUUUGUUUCAUCAUGUCCUGGUUUACCCAAGUCAGAUUGUUUUUGGUUUGUACUUUGGAUCCUGUGUGUUUCUCACAUGAAUUAGUGUUGUUGUAACAUGAAUUGUAGUAGGUCACUGCUAUCUAAAUGUGAUCAUUGCAAGGAGGAACCAUUGUUUGGCUUCACCCCUUCCUCAUUUGAUCGUUUUUAUGGCCCAUAUGCAUUCUACGUGUUGCCUAACUUGGCAUGACGUGCACGAAAACUGUUUGGGCAUCCAUACUCUAGCUCUUCUUAGUUUUCACGCAUGUUUCUUUCCAGACUUGAUCUUACUACUAAAUAGCUCACCUGUUGUUUUCUGUUUUCUUGUUGGCAGAUAUUUUGAGUAAAUUCAAGACAAAAGAUGUUCAAAGAAGCUCCAAGACAUACUUAUAUAGCAAGUUCUGUAAUAAUAGCUGGGUUAUCUGGGAAUUUAAUGUAU